rnacentral:rRNA from 1 species
GACGAACGCUGGCGGCGUGCCUAAUACAUGCAAGUAGAACGCUGAAGAGAGGAGCUUGCUCUUCUUGGAUGGGUUGCGAACGGGUGAGUAACGCGUAGGUAACCUGCCUUGUAGCGGGGGAUAACUAUUGGAAACGAUAGCUAAUACCGCAUAACAAUGGAUGACACAUGUCAUUUAUUUGAAAGGGGCAAUUGUUCCACUACAAGAUGGACCUGCGUUGUAUUAGCUAGUAGGUGAGGUAAUGGCUCACCUAGGCGACGAUACAUAGCCGACCUGGGAGGGUGAUCGGCCACACUGGGACUGAGACACGGCCCAGACUCCUACGGGAGGCAGCAGUAGGGAAUCUUCGGCAAUGGGGGCAACCCUGACCGAGCAACGCCGCGUGAGUGAAGAAGGUUUUCGGAUCGUAAAGCUCUGUUGUAAGUCAAGAACGGGUGUGAGAGUGGAAAGUUCACACUGUGACGGUAGCUUACCAGAAAGGGACGGCUAACUACGUG